CAACACACAGACCUGGAAUGCGUGCUGUCAAUCUGUAUUCAUGCCAACCAAGUGCAAACAGAGCAAACUGCCUGAGAGCAGGGAAGGACACUGAUGUCUGCAAGGACACCAGGCACUGUGUGGCAGCUUCACCUGCUCUGCACAGACUUCCCCACUGAAGAGAAAAUGUCACCCCUUGGUUCCACUUCAACCUGCAAGAAAUGAGAUUUCCCAAGCCACUAGCCAACUGCGUCAUAACUAGGAGCAGUGGUUUCCUCACUAGGCAGACUCUACAAUGUAUCCCAGAAAGUACCUUUGCUUUCUGUGGGAGCUUUGUGUGGGUUGCCGAUGAAAUUCUACCUGUUGUGCUUAUUCUCCACUGAGGACCCAGCUGGAGCAGAGAUGCUUCAGUGAAGCUUUUGACUCAGCUAGGACUGAAAUUAUUCCAGCUCUGGCAAAUAAAUAGCAGCAUGCUUAAGUGAUAUCUACUUUAAUGCAUUGAUGGAUUUGAGACCCAAGUGCUACUGAGGGCUCAG